AACGAACGCUGGCGGCAGGCCUAACACAUGCAAGUCGAGCGCGCCCUCCGGGGUGAGCGGCGGAUGGGUGAGUCACGCGUGGGAACGUGCCAUUUUCUACGGAAUAGCCUCGGGUCACUGAGAGUAAUACCGUAUACGCUCUUUGGGGGGAAGAUUUGUCGGAACAGGAGCGGCACGAGUUGGUUUAGGCAGUUGGUGGGGUAAUGGCCUACCAAGCAGAGGAUCCAUAGCUGGUUUGAGAGGAUGAGCAGCCACACUGGGACGGGGACACAGCCCAGACUCCUACGGGAGGCAGCAGUGGGGAAUCUUGGACAAUGGGGGCAACCCUGAACUAGCCAUGCCGCGUGAGUGAUUAAGGCCUUAGAGUUGUAAAGCUCUUUCAGCUGGGAAGAUAAUGACGGUACCAGCAGAAGAAGCCCCGGCUAACUCCGUG
rnacentral:rRNA from 1 species